UUUCAGUCACGUGACUUCUAUGACGCGCGAAAUUCAAGUGGAGGUCAGGAAGUGAAAACGCAAUCAUUCAUCAACGCAGGAAUCAUGGAGGACACCGACUAUGUCAAACAAUUAAAUGAACCUGCACGCCGCAGAUAUCGUGAAAAAAUCACAGCACACAUCGGAUACGAUCCGUAUCAGCUGAAAAAAAACGACUUUUCUUGUGAUUUAUCCGAUUUGCCCGCUGUCCAGGCGAUGGAUAUCACCAGCUACCUCGUCCUUCAUACCUCCUACUACACGGCUAGCCAGAUGCAAGCGUAUACAAGCCUGGAAGCUUUCAACUACUUCGUGGGUGGAUGGGUGAAUGACCUCGGCACCAAAGAGGCAUUAAACAAAUGUCGCCUUGUUUUUGCCCGGGUCAACCAUUCCCAGAGGUCUGGAGAAACACCAUUACAAACGUGGAUUGUAGCUAAAGAAGAUGGAGAGGUUGUUACAGCACACUGUAACUGUAUGGCUGGUUUGUCAGAAUCCUGCUCACAUGUUGGAGCAGUUCUGUUUGCAAUCGAAGCAGGUGUGAAGAUGAGAGAGACUGCAUCCUGCACCACUGAGAAGUGCAAGUGGCUAAUGCCAUCACAUGUCAAAAAGAUUCCUGCUGCUCCAGUUGCGAUGAUAGACUUUUCAUCCGCAAAAUCCAAAAAGCAAAAACUGGAUGAUGCCAUUGCUGGAAGGACAGGUGAGAAGCACACAUUUCAGCGUCCCACAGUCCAGGGUUCAAAAUUGGAGCGAGGAUCAGAGAGGUAUAUGCAGUUUUUCAAGACUUUGAGCAGAAAUUCCCCAAGAAGUGCUGCACUGAUGUCCAGGGAACCAUAUUACAGAGAAUUUGUCCCUAAAUCUGUGAGCAAGCUACCUAAACCACUACCUCAGUAUAGGACACCAGAGAUGCUACAGCUAUCCCCAACAGAGUUGCAGAAUGCAUGCCAGGACUUCAGACAGGAAGAGCUGACACAGCCACAGGUCCAGGCAGUAGAGGAGGAGACCAGAAACCAGAGCUUAUCACCAAUAUGGUUUAGCCAAAGAGCAGGAAGGAUCACAGCCUCAAGACUGAAGCAGGUUCUCCAGACUAGUCUUGCACAGCCAUCAAAGUCCUUGAUCAAGUCCAUAUGCUACCCAGAGGCAUACAAGUUCUCUACAGCUGCAACAAGGUAUUUAUUAGGGAUUAGGGAGCCAAUCAGAAAAGCAAACUGUAUACAGUUUUUCUCAGACGCGGAGGGAUACCGACUUGUUGUGAAAAGUAACUUACAAUUCUACCCGUGGUAUACGCUGAUUAUAUCACGUAUAUCAGUAAGUUACAGUACAAGUAACUUAUAACUAAAUUCAUUAUCAUUACAAAACAUGAUUCACAAAAUAUUCAAUGCAUAAAAAUACUGUGUGUGUGUGUGUACACAAAUACGAGGCAACUGCCCGAAAGCAGUAUGAAGGAGUACAAAGUCUGCACCACCAGGGUUUCAGCUGUAAAGACAGCGGGCUUUGGCUGAACCCUCAAUGGCCAUACAUGGGAGCGUCGCCAGACGGAGGUGUCACGUGCACCUGCCAUGGAACUGGUAUCUGUGAGAUAAAGGUAAGUUAUUUGUUCAGUAUUGUGCUACAGUAAAGCGGGUAAGUAUAGGAUUGUGACGUGAUCCUGAGUCUGGGGAUCCUCUCCCAAUACGUUUUGAGCUGCAGACACUUAUUUACAGUACAAUAUAUUACUUUUCUUUUCAUUGAACUUUUAGUGCCCACACAGCAAACAAGAGGAGGCCAAUCUUCGCCUGUGUGCUGGAGAACAGGGCUUCUGUCUCGUCAACGAUGGGGGCACUGUGAAGAUGGACAGGAGACAUGCCUACUACCAUCAAGUACAGGCUCAGCUCCACCUCGUUGAUGUUGACUACUGCGACUUUGUUGUCUGGACUAAAAAGGACCUCUUUGUAGAGAGAAUUGUGCGUGAUGUGGACCUGUGGGACAACAUCAUUCCCAGAGUUGAGCGUUUCUUCAGACUAUGUGUUCUCCCUGAAGUGUUGGGACAGCAACUUACAAGGGGAAAGUUUCAGUUGCAAGAUGAUCAGGAGGGAGAGAAGGCGUGAUUACCAGCACCUGUGGACUGUCCUGGUCCCGGAAGUUAUGGUUCUCUCCUUGUUGCAUUAUUAUUACGUGCCGUAGUGGGUGCUGGUGUUUGGGUGUGUGUGGGUGUCUUUUUCUCUCUCCCUCUGAUCUCCCCAGGUGCUCCCAAUCUCCAAUCAGCGCCUCCAUAUAGGACAUGAGGAAGGUUGCAGUCGCUCUCCCCUUAUCUUAAGCUUUGUUUGACAAGUUGGCUGGUGAGCCCUUUUUCGUUGUGUUAAUUAAAAGACCACUUUAUGGCGUCAGAUCAGUUACCUCUCCUUUUUCUCUCGGCCGGUUAUGUUGUGUGUCGCUACUUCCCUUUGUACCCCUAUAUUUACAAGGGAACGUAACAUUUGCACAGUGGCAGCUCUUUAACCUGCAUUACAGCACCUUCAUAUUCACUGACCACACUCACUAGAGGAAGUAGGGCUGUGUGAUAUAUUGCUAUUGUAAAAAAGAUGUUUACUGAAAAGAUUAAAUGAUACUAAGACUGAAUAA